rnacentral:rRNA from 1 species
AUUGAACGCUGGCGGCAGGCCUAACACAUGCAAGUCGAGCGGUAACAUGUCUAGCUUGCUAGAUGAUGACGAGCGGCGGACGGGUGAGUAAUGCUUGGGGAUCUGCCCUAAGGUGGAGGAUAACCAUUGGAAACGAUGGCUAAUACUGCACGUGAUCUACGGAUUAAAGAAGGCUUCGGCUUUCGCCUUAGGAUGAACCCAAGUGGGAUUAGCUAGUUGGUAAGGUAAUGGCUUACCAAGGCGACGAUCCCUAGCUGGUCUGAGAGGAUGAUCAGCCACACUGGAACUGAGACACGGUCCAG